rnacentral:tRNA from 1 species
GGGGUUGUGGCUCAGCGGUAGAGCGCUCGCCUGGCAUGUGUGAGGCCUUGGGUUGGAUCCUCAACACCACA